ensembl:processed_transcript Rian RNA imprinted and accumulated in nucleus
UGUGAAUGGAGACUAGCCUGCUGGUAGAGACCUUGGCAGUGACCGCUGUGGGCAAUGAGCCAUGGGCCAACAAUAUUCAAUGCUGUGUACCUGAUGGAUGGUUACUGUCUGAGACUGAGGCUUUUUGGGCCAGGAGUAAAAGGACUUGGUUUGUACUUGAUUGCGUCCUGUGGAUGCUUGCCUACCAACUGACUCAUCCUGACGUGCCAAAGGUCCUGGCUUUCCCCUGUGUGGGUAAGGGAAGAAGAGAGUUCUAAUGAAGACUAUAGCAGACUGAAUUACUCUCUGAGAUGAGGACUUUGCUAUUGCCAUUGCAGAACCACUGGUGGAAGUUGUUGUUAAACAGUGGGUCUUGCAUGCAAGCUCUACAGUUAUGCACAGUAUUUCCAUGACAUCCCAAGCCAUGAGGUUCAUGCUGCCAUAUCCCCCUGUUUAACAAGUGUGGAAACUGAUAAUGGACUCACAAUUGCUGAUGUAUAGGUUCUAAUGUUUUCUAUUGUGGACACGGGACACCCAGACUGAGAACCAAUGGCUCCAGUCUGAUUUAAACAUGGGUCCGUGCUCACACACUCAAUACCUACCCUCUGUGCUCACAAGUCCUGUGUGAGUAAGACUCCAAAUUAUUCUGUCUUGUUUUACUCAAUGGUAUGCUCUACCUUAUUAUAGAGUAUACCAUGUAUUGAGACAAGAAUGCCAGUCAUUCUGAGAAACAAAAUGCAACCAUUAGUUGUCAUUUUAAUUAGUGACGAAUAGUUGUGUCAAUCAUCAAACAUGCUUGUAUAAUUGGAUGAGAAGAGGUGUAACACGGGCCAAUGAUGACGAGGUUUCGGGAUUAUAAGUCACGGACGAUGACUACGUCACUAGAGGUCUGAGGUCCAUAGCAGAAGAUGCCUCAUGUGACCCUCUCAUGCAGGGGUUGCAUGUCAGGCAUGUGCAUACAGUAGAUAUUAGCCAUGCACUCUCACCAUUUCAUAGUAGAUCACAGAAUCAAGAUACAAAUCUCCAUGCACGGAAAGG